rnacentral:rRNA from 1 species
CCUACGGGUGACAGCAGUGAGGAAUAUUGGUCAAUGGGCGCGAGCCUGAACCAGCCAAGUAGCGUGAAGGAUGACUGCCCUACGGGUUGUAAACUUCUUUUAUAGAGGAAUAAAGUGAGGCACGCGUGCCUUUUUGUAUGUACUUUAUGAAUAAGGAUCGGCUAACUCCGUGCCAGCAGCCGCGGUAAUCCGGAGGGUCCGGGCUUUAUCCGGAUUUAUUGGGUUUAAAGGGGGCGUAGGCCGGGCUUUAAGCGUGCCGUGGAAUUUUGUGGCACAACCACGGGAGUGCGGCGCGAACGGGAGACCUGGAGUGCGCGGAAGGCAGGCGGAAUUCGUGGUGUAGCGGUGAAAUGCUUAGAUAUCACGAAGAACCCCGAUUGCGAAGGCAGCCUGCCGCAGCGUGACUGACGCUGAGGCUCGAAAGCGCGGGUAUCGAACAGGAUUAGAUACCCCGGUAGUC